UUUUCAUGACUAUUAUGUAAAGCAGUAUUUUUCACAAAAUUUUACUAUGUGCUUAAUUAUAUUCUGUAAUCCUUCUACAUACAAGUGUGUUAUAUAUACAUGUGGCAGGUCCUUUCUAUGCGGAACACUGAAUAACACGAAAAGGUAGUGGUUCUGGUGCGCUCACAAUCGAAUGGAUACAUGACACGCGAAAUUUUCGUAAACCGAAAAAAUAAAAAAACUAAAAUUUUUGUUUAGAUUAUAGUGUAAAGGAAAUGGAUUGGAUUGGAAUGGAUUACCUUACGAUCGCUACAAAUAGUAUUUCACACUAGUGACAGAGGAGAG